GAUGAACGCUGGCGGCGUGCCUAAUACAUGCAAGUCGAGCGAAUGGAUUAAGAGCUCGCUCUUAUGAAGUUAGCGGCGGACGGGUGAGUAACACGUGGGUAACCUGCCCAUAAGACUGGGAUAACUCCGGGAAACCGGGGCUAAUACCGGAUAACAUUUUGAACCGCAUGGUUCGAAAUUGAAAGGCGGCUUCGGCUGUCACUUAUGGAUGGACCCGCGUCGCAUUAGCGAGUUGGUGAGGUAACGGCUCACCAAGGCAACGAUGCGUAGCCGACCUGAGAGGGUGAUCGGCCGCACUGGGACUGAGACACGGCCCAGACUCCUACGGGAGGCAGCAGUAGGGAAUCUUCCGCAAUGGACGAAAGUCCGACGGAGCAACGCCGCGUGAGUGAUGAAGGCUUUCGGGUCGUAAAACUCUGUUGUUAGGGAAGAACAAGUGCUAGUUGAAUAAGCUGGCACCUUGACGGUACCUAACCAGAAAGCCACGGCUAACUACGUGCCAGCCGCCGCAGUAA
rnacentral:rRNA from 1 species